rnacentral:tRNA from 1 species
GCGCCGGUGGUGUAAGGCGAACAUCGCUGCCCGGAAAGCAGAAGAUGCGGGUUCGAGUCCCGCCUGUCGCA